rnacentral:rRNA from 1 species
AUUCCAGCUCCAAUAGCGUAUAUUAAAGUUGUUGCAGUUAAAAAGCUCGUAGUCGGAACUUUGGCCGGCGGUGAGCGUCCAAGGGCCUUCGGCCUUUGCGCAUGCGAUCCGCUAGCCAUGUACUUCGGAGGAACGCGUGUGCUUUUCACUAAGUGCGCGUGGGAUUCCGAUAGUUUACUUUGAGAAAAAUAGAGUGUUCAAAGCAGGCGUUUUGCCUUGAAUACAUUAGCAUGGGAUAAUGAAAUAGGACAUUGGUUCUAUUUUGAUGGUUUACGGACCGAUGUAAUGAUUAAUAGGGACAGUCAGGGGCACUCGUAUUCCGCCGAGAGAGGUGAAAUUCUCAGACCAGCGGAAGACGAACCACUGCGAAAGCAUUUGCCAGGGAUGUUUUCAUUG